AAGUCGUAACAAGGUUUCCGUAGGUGAACCUGCGGAAGGAUCAUUACCGAAAUUUAAAACUCACAACGCGAGUCUCGUGCGGAAGCAAAUAUGACUGCCGAGACUUUGUGACUCUUCAAGUCUUCCUUUGCUCAAGUCAAACCACACUCGUGAAGCACAUGUGACGAGUCUGUGGUGAGCAUCGGGAGCACUGCGUUUCCUUCGGGAUUCACAGUCUAAAAAACGAAUUGUAAAAGUAAUAUAUCAAACGAAUUGUAAAAGUAUAUAUAUAAACAAAAAAAGACGAAAAAAUCAACCUCGAGUGGUGGAUCACUUGGCUCGUGG
rnacentral:misc_RNA from 1 species